rnacentral:lncRNA from 1 species
CCACGCCCGGCCGCCCGCCCGUCCUCUGCGCCGGGGACAAGUCCUUCCACCGAGGCCGGGUCCCCGCGCCUUCCCUAGCGCCCUGCCUCUCUUUGGCCGCGCUCGCAGGACCGCCUGUAGGAGAGUGAAGCCCCAGGGUUUCCUUGCUGAUGGAGUCCCCCACCUUCCCCAGCCUUCCUGUUCCCGGGCUGGUUACGGCGGCGAAGGGAGACCUUGCCUCUCCCCAGCCUUGGAAGCAGAGGGCUGGAGGUGGCCUUAUGUCCACUGCCUGCGACUCUGGACUUGAAGGGAAGAAGUAAUCGAUCAUGAUGACCGUGAAAGAAACACGUCUCCCUUCAUCCCAGGACCCCUGGUGGACACUGGGUGGUUUAGCAUCCGGACUAUGGAGAUGCUUUGGAGGUGUUGGCAGGACUACGGUUGAGCCCUUAUUUGAUAUUUACCGAUUGAGAAAGAACCAAGAUUAAGAGGCCUGGAACUCAUCAGGGGUAUUUUAUUUAUCCUGCCUUUUCCUCAUUUCCUCUCCUGCUGUCAUGCUUGUUUAUUGAGCACCUACUGUUUAUGGGAAGAAAAGAUAAUAGACAAGAUACUUGACCUCAAACCCAUGAAAAUUUAAUAGUUACAUGUCAUCAUCCUCGGGCCAGCAGCGGUAUGUGUUCUGGUCUUGCUUCCUGGACCACCCAGAAGAGACUUUAUAGCCCCAGCCAUCAGGGGUAUAGUGUGUGCCCAGUGUGUUUUCUAUCCCUGGCUUCCAAAAAGUCCUGGAAGAAAGAAUAGGUGUGACCAGAAAGUCCUUCACCUCCGGAAUCUAAGUGGAUAUGGCAAGGAAUCAAGGCUUCUAGACACCACCGGAUGAGUCAAGGUACCGUGGCCCAGACAAACUAAGCACUGGUUCUGUCACCACAUAGACACAAAGGCAUUCAAGAAACCACAGCCCUCUGGCUUUGUUGCUCCUUCCUUCAUAAUCAAAUCAACAGAGUGUGUUUGUAGAAUUCACCCACAACACAAACAGAUGCCGCGAAACACCUUGGAGCGGUUGGCCGGCAGAAAUGCCCACUGAGCGGGCUGUGAUUCACUCGGGAGGAGGAAGGCCUCGGAGGGCAGCCAAUCGAAGACGGACCCAGGGAAAAGUCGCUGGGUUCUUACAGGAAGCGAUCUAAUUAUGUUACUGUAAUCCUCAAGCUCGCAUUUUUCAGCCACCUCAACACGAACUCACAGACUUCAACGAUUAUGUAAUUACGGAAAACUUCACAACAAACAUGAAGAUUCCUUCUGGAGGCCACAUUGAAGACCGGGAUGUGCAUUAGAGCGUGGGAGGGAAGCACGCAGCUCACAAAAGGAAGAGCAAAGAGAUGUAUUGAACUUAAAAGGUUACAUUUGAAAAGGGGCCCCUACCAGACCUCCCCUUUUGUGUGCACAUUUUUUGCACCUGCAACUGUUUGCGGGCUCGAAAGCAAUAGCCCUCCCCCUUCUCCCAAGAGGCCACGCUUUCAUGCCUUGGCCCCAAAUGUGUCAUUUUCCUGCCAGGGGGAGAAAUCAAAAGAAACCAAGUUUUUAGAACUUUGCUGUAAAGAAAAUAAUAGUUUUGAAAAGGAUUGGAGCCACAUUUUCAGGUUAGACACAGUUGUUAGAGAAAUGUCAGAAGGAAAACGUUCCUCUUCACUUUCUUUCCUAGCUCGUUGAAGUUCUUCAUUUCACUGGGUUCUGGGUGACAUCUGUAGCAUCCAUUUCAGCGCAGUCUGCAGCAGGCUUUUGACUCCACAGCAUGUAACUGUCCUCAGACCACCGUGUUCAAAGUCGAGAUUCCAAAUGGACCUUCCUGACUCUUCACAGAGAAGAUGCCAUAUAAAUCAUUUCCAUUAAAACAAACCUUUGAUACCACCAGCGAAUUGUGGAAUUUUGAUAAUGAUGCUUGUGAAUGAAGUGCUGACAAAUGGUCUUGCUUUAGAUGGUGUUUGUGGGUGGGGCUUGGGUUAGAGCCAGGAUCAACCUUGAUUUUGGCCACUGAUCCAUUUCCUCUCUCCCCACCACCCACCUCAUAUGUUGAGAUGAAAGUUACAGCAGAAAGCCUCUUUUGAACCAUUAUGAACAAUUCUAUUCAAAGCAGCAUCUGUGAAUUUUUAUAAGACUGGCCAAGAUUGGCUCAAUUAUUUCUCCAUUCUCUCCAGGGGAUAGAAAGUUUCCAAUCAAGGGUUACAAUGGAAGCAAAAAUGUUAUGUUCAUGGGAGGUAGAAUGCAUUGCUAAAUAGAUGGAAGACAAAAUAAAGUUCCUCAGUAUACAUAAUAGCUCAAGGAUGAACUUGGUUGAACAGAUUAGAGGAACAGAUGCAGAUAAAAUAAACUUCUCUCUCUUUGGUUUAACUUGGGAGACUGAGGAUUUUCUAUAUGGUACAAACCUUGAUGAAUGUUGAGGAUAUAGGGGUUCUCAUAUAUCUUAUAAUAUACUAGUGAGUCAUCUGGUGAGAUGGCUGGAAGUUUUUUUUUUAAGUAGAUAUAAUCUCAUAAGUGAGGAGAAAAUAAAUCAUUGUCUCAGCUAGAGAGAGUGAUCCUUUUGAACCCUUAUAUGGUUCAAUCUCAUUUUAACAUUUUUGAAGCAGGUAGGUUUGGGAUUUCUGGUUCCUGUAAAGCAAAGCCCAUGAUGGUUCUUUGAUUCAGUUGUCUCCUGGGGAAAAUGAGGGAAGAAGGUUUAAGUGGUUUGUUAUCAGUGGCUACUGAAUUACACCUUUUACACCAUUACUUUUUUUAUUUAUAUUUAUUUAUUUUUAUUUUUUGAGAUGGAGUUUUGCUCUUGUUGCCCAGGCUGGAGUGCAAUGGCACGAUCUCGGCUCAGCACAACCUCCGCCUCCCAGGUUCAAGCGAUUCUCCUGCCUCAGCCUCCCGAGAAGUUGGGAUUACAUACACCAUUACUUUUAACGACAAAACCAGCAACUACUUUUGCACCAGUCCAAUAUAUGGAGGGAUUUACUGAU